GUUACCUAUGAAUUUUUUCUGUUUGACCAAUUCAUGUAUUUGUUGGCUCUAGGUUCUGGUUUAUGUGGUUCAUCCUGGAAUAUUUGGAGCUUAUUCUAUUCACAUUUUUUUUUUUUUUUUUACAAAUGGGCACUUUUUUGGAAGAAUUGAUUGUUCACCAAGUCAGCUUUCGACUGUCUGUUUCAUCAGAGCAUCAAAUAAAUGCCAGUGUUUGUGAGUAUUCGUUGUCUGUUGUUGGUAUUUCUAUACUUGAAUGACAGCCUGUAAUAUAGGGUUCUUAGCAUUUUCUUGUAUCUGGGGCUGCAAGAGAAGUUGAGUGACAACAGUAGGAAGUUCAUUAUUAGCAUAGAAAGAAGCUGUUAUAAGUAACAUAAAUGAGUAAUUUAAGUUUUGAAAGCAAAUGCGAAUUAACUCGUCUCAUCAUUGAAAGUGCUCGCAUUUAAGAGUUUGGCAAUGCUUGCGUUACCCAGUCGUCCGUGUCACUAUCGAAGGAGUUGGAAUUCUUGCGCAUUGGUUAAACACAAUACUUUUUUCCUAGUCUGCAAGUGAGUUGUACUGUCAUUUGCGCUGUUACCUUGCCAGUAGGCAUGUGCUUAUAAAAAUAAAGAGAGAAAGAAGUGAGGGUGUAAAAGUGGCGUCCAUCCCAAAAAUAAAUUGUUGGAAGUUAGC
rnacentral:lncRNA from 1 species